rnacentral:rRNA from 1 species
UACGGGGGGGGCAAGCGUUGUUCGGAAUUACUGGGCGUAAAGGGCUCGUAGGCGGCCAACUAAGUCAGACGUGAAAUCCCUCGGCUUAACCGGGGAACUGCAUCUGAUACUGGAUGGCUUGAGUUCGGGAGAGGGAUGCGGAAUUCCUGGUGUAGCGGUGAAAUGCGUAGAGAUCAGGAGGAACACCCGUGGCGAAGGCGGCACUCUGGUCGACAUCUGACGCUGAGACGCGAAAGCGUGGGGAGCGAACGGG